rnacentral:rRNA from 1 species
AACGAACGCUGGCGGCAUGCCUAACACAUGCAAGUCGAACGGGAUCCUGGCUUCGGUCAGGUGAGAGUGGCGGACGGGUGAGUAACGCGUGGGAACCUGCCCAGUGGUGGGGGAUAACUGCGGGAAACUGCAGCUAAUACCGCAUGAGCCCGAGAGGGGAAAGAUUUAUCGCCAUUGGAGGGGCCCGCGUUCGAUUAGGUAGUUGGUGAGGUAACGGCUCACCAAGCCGACGAUCGAUAGCUGGUCUGAGAGGAUGAUCAGCCACACUGGGACUGAGAUACGGCCCAGACUCCUACGGGAGGCAGCAGUGGGGAAUAUUGGACAAUGGGGGGCAACCCUGAUCCAGCAAUGCCGCGUGAGUGAUGAAGGCCUUCGGUGUAAAGCUCUUUUGUCCGGGGACGGAUGAUGACGGUACCCGGAGAA